rnacentral:pre_miRNA from 1 species
UUAAUACUCUCUCCGUCCAACGAAAGAUGUCUCAAGUUUGUCAAAUUUUGGAUGUAUUUAAACAUGUCUUAUUGUAUAUAUGCAUUCAAAUUUAGUCACAGUUAUGACAUCCUUUGUUGGACCGAGAAAAUACAAA